CUAAAGGCUCUUUUCAGGGCCACCCAUAUUUUCUGUAAAAGAGCUU
rfam:TPA: Bos taurus chromosome 23, whole genome shotgun sequence.